CCUACGGGAGGCAGCAGUGGGGAAUAUUGCGCAAUGGACGAAAGUCUGACGCAGCGACGCCGCGUGAGGGAUGAAGGUUUUCGGAUCGUAAACCUCCGUCAGGAGGGAAGAAAGCGCAUGGCGCCAAUCAGCCAUUCGUUGACGGUACCUCCAAAGGAAGCGCCGGCUAAAUCCGUGCCAGCAGCGUCGGUAAAACGGAGGGCGCGAGCGUUAAUCGGAAUUACUGGGCGUAAAGCGCGCGUAGGUUGUUUGGUAAGUUGCGGGUGAAAUCCCAGGGCUCAACCGUGGAGCAGCCGUUGAUACUGGGCGACUUGAAUGCGGGAGAGGGUGGCGGAAUUCCAGGUGUAGGAGUGAAAGCCGUAGAUAUCUGGAGGAACAUCAGUGGCGAAGGCGGCCACCUGGACCGGUAUUGACGCUGAGGCGCGAAAGCGUGGGGAGCAAACAGGAUUAGAUACCCUUGUAGUC
rnacentral:rRNA from 1 species